UUUAAAUUGAGAGUUUGAUCCUGGCUCAGGAUGAACGCUGGCGGCGUGCUUAACACAUGCAAGUCGAGCGAUGAAGUUUCCUUCGGGAAAUGGAUUAGCGGCGGACGGGUGAGUAACACGUGGGUAACCUGCCUCAUAGAGUGGAAUAGCCUUCCGAAAGG
rnacentral:rRNA from 1 species